rnacentral:rRNA from 1 species
UACGGGGGGGGGCAAGCGUUGUUCGGAAUUACUGGGCGUAAAGGGCGCGUAGGCGGCCUGUUAAGUCGAACGUGAAAUCCCCGGGCUCAACCCGGGAACUGCGUCCGAUACUGGCAGGCUUGAAUCCGGGAGAGGGAUGUGGAAUUCCAGGUGUAGCGGUGAAAUGCGUAGGAUAUCUGGAGGAACACCGGUGGCGGAAGGGCGG